rnacentral:rRNA from 1 species
GACGAACGCUGGCGGCGUGCUUAACACAUGCAAGUCGAACGGCAAGGCCCUGCUUUUGUGGGGUGCCCGAGUGGCGAACGGGUGAGUAACACGUGAGUAACCUGCUCUUGACUUUGGGAUAACUUCACGAAACUGGGGCUACUACCGGAUAGGAGCUCCCGCUGCAUGGUGGGCGUUGGAACGUCUCGGCGGUUGGGGAUGGACUCGCGGGUUAUCAGCUUGUUGGUGGGGUAGUGGCUUACCAAGGGUUUGACGGGUAGGCGGCCUGAGAGGGUGACCGGGGACAUUGGGACUGAGAUAGGGCCCAGACUCCUACGGGGGGCAGCGGGGGGGAAUCUGACACAAUGGGCGGAAGCCUGAUGCAGCAACGCCGCGUGCGGGAUGACGGCCUUCGGGUUGUGAACCGCUUUCGCCUGUGACGAAGCGUGAGUGACGGUAAUGGGUAAAGAAGCACCGGCUAACUACGUG